UUCCUUUUCUUUGGCUUAUAUAAGUGACUCCUUUUCUCCAGCUGAUUAGAGGACUAGCAUUCAAAUCAAACUGGAAAGCAGCCCUUCCAUGGAAUGAGAGAAUCAGCCACUGAUGACAGAAAAAAGUUCAUCCAUAGUUCCCCAUGUUCUGCCAGUGAACAGGUGCACAAGUGCAAAACAGAAGAUAAGGAUGCUACAACCAUCAACUCAAUAAAAUAAGGCAAUGGCCUGCCUGCAUGAAGACAGAGAAAGAGUCCAAUAAGAUAUUAGAAGACCCAGACCAAAAAUUACCAUUGGACUAAAAAAAGUGCAUUAAGAGCACGCGAAGGUGUGUAAUCUUAAGCAUAUAAUUGCCUGGGAAUUUCUUUGUUCAUGGUCCCUCUCCAAUGGCAUCCAGCUCAAGCUGACAUGCUGCUGUACCACUCUAUUAAAUUCUUUAUUUUUAUAAA